rnacentral:rRNA from 1 species
GACGUACGCUGGCGGCGUGCCUAAUACAUGCAAGUUGAGCGAUGAAGAUUGGUGCUUGCACCAAUUUGAAGAGCAGCGAACGGGUGAGUAACGCGUGGGGAAUCUGCCUUUGAGCGGGGGACAACAUUUGGAAACGAAUGCUAAUACCGCAUAACAACUUUAAACAUAAGUUUUAAGUUUGAAAGAUGCAAUUGCAUCACUCAAAGAUGAUCCCGCGUUGUAUUAGCUAGUUGGUGAGGUAAAGGCUCACCAAGGCGAUGAUACAUAGCCGACCUGAGAGGGUGAUCGGCCACAUUGGGACUGAGACACGGCCCAAACUCCUACGGGAGGCAGCAGUAGGGAAUCUUCGGCAAUGGACGAAAGUCUGACCGAGCAACGCCGCGUGAGUGAAGAAGGUUUUCGGAUCGUAAAACUCUGUUGGUAGAGAAGAACGUUGGUGAGAGUGGAAAGCUCAUCAAGUGACGGUAACUACCCAGAAAGGGACGGCUAACUACGUG